rnacentral:tRNA from 2 species
GGGCGCGUAGCUCAGUGGCAGAGCGCUUGACUCACAUUCAAGAGGUCAGAGGUUCGAUACCUCUCGCGCCCACCA